UACGUAGGGGGCAAGCGUUGUCCGGAAUCAUUGGGCGUAAAGAGCGUGUAGGCGGCCCGAUAAGUCCGCUGUGAAAGUCCAGGGCUCAACCCUGGAAUGCCGGUGGAUACUGUCGGGCUCGAAUCCGGAAGAAGUGAGUGGAAUUCCUGGUGUAGCGGUGAAAUGCGCAGAUAUCAGGAGGAACACCGAUGGCGAAGGCAGGUCUCUGGGCCGAUACUGACGCUGAGGAGCGAAAGCGUGGGGAGCGAACAGG
rnacentral:rRNA from 1 species